rnacentral:rRNA from 1 species
AUUGAACGCUGGCGGCAUGCUUUACACAUGCAAGUCGAACGGUAACAGGCCGCAAGGUGCUGACGAGUGGCGAACGGGUGAGUAAUGCAUCGGAACGUGCCCAGUCGUGGGGGAUAACGCAGCGAAAGCUGUGCUAAUACCGCAUACGAUCUGUGGAUGAAAGCGGGGGACCGUAAGGCCUCGCGCGAUUGGAGCGGCCGAUGUCAGAUUAGGUAGUUGGUGGGGUAAAGGCUCACCAAGCCGACGAUCUGUAGCUGGUCUGAGAGGACGACCAGCCACACGGGGACUGAGACACGGCCCAGACUCCUACGGGAGGCAGCAGUGGGGAAUUUUGGACAAUGGGCGCAAGCCUGAUCCAGCAAUGCCGCGUGCAGGAAGAAGGCCUUCGGGUUGUAAACUGCUUUUGUACGGAGCGAAAAGGCUCUCUCUAAUACAGGGGGCUCAUGACGGUACCGUAAGAAUAAGCACCGGCUAACUACGUGCCAGCCGCCGCAGUAAGAC